AUGAGUUUGUAUCACUGUGGUACACGUUCGGUGGAGGAACCAGACUGGAUGUUGGAAUUCAGUCUGACAGAGUCAGAGAGCUGUGUCUCUCUACAGUCAGAGGUUUUUGUACGGCGCCUCAAUGAGUUUGUAUCACUGUGGUGGACUUUUGGUGGAGGAACCAGACUGGAUGUUGGAAGUGAUACCCGCCCCGCCCUGAAGGUGCUGGGUCCCUCCAGUGCAGAGCUGGAGCAGGGGAAGGCCACGCUCAUGUGUGUGGCCAACAAGGGCUUCCCCUCAGACUGGAGUCUGUCCUGGAAGACGAGCGACAGCAGUGGCAGCAGCAGCAUCAGAGGGGAGGAGAGCAGGACUCCUGGAGUGCUGCAGAAUGACGGCCUCUACAGCUGGAGCAGCACCCUGACGCUCACUGCAGACCAGUGGGGGAAGGUGGGCUCUGUGACCUGUGAGGCCACCCAGGGCUCCCACACUCCGGUCUCAGAGAUACUGAGGAGAGACCAGUGUUCCCAGUCCUGAUGUCAAUCACUGAGUCUUUGAUGUUGAUUUUCUUCUGUCUCUUUGUUCCUUUGUGUUUGCAGAUUUAAAAAAUAAACUCAUCAAACAGU